GACAGAGGGUGCAAACGUUGUUCGGAAUUACUGGGCGUAAAGCGCACGUAGGCGGCUUUGCAAGUCAGAGGUGAAAGCCCGGGGCUCAACCCCGGAAUAGCCUUUGAGACUGCAUCGCUAGAAUUGUGGAGAGGUAAGUGGAAUUCCGAGUGUAGAGGUGAAAUUCGUAGAUAUUCGGAAGAACACCAGUGGCGAAGGCGGCUCUCUGGACCACAACUGACGCUGAGGCGCGAAAGCUAGGGGAGCAAACAGG
rnacentral:rRNA from 1 species